rnacentral:rRNA from 1 species
UCCACGCUGUAAACGAUGAUCACUCGCUAUUGGCGAUAAAAUGUCAGUGGCCAAGCGAAAGCAUUAAGUGAUCCACCUGGGGAGUACGGUCGCAAGAUUGAAACUCAAAGGAAUUGACGGGGGCCCGCACAAGCGGUGGAGCAUGUGGUUUAAUUCGAUGAUACGCGAGGAACCUUACCAGGGCUUAAAUGCAGAACGACAGACCGGGAAACCGGUCCUUCUUCGGACGAUCU